UACAGAGGGUGCGAGCGUUGUUCGGAAUUAUUGGGCGUAAAGGGCGCGUAGGCGGCGCGGUAUGUCACCUGUGAAAUCUCCUGGCUCAACUGGGAUCUUGCAGGCGAAACUGCCGUGCUGGAGUGUGGGAGAGGUGCGUGGAAUUCCUGGUGUAGCGGUGAAAUGCGUAGAUAUCAGGAGGAACACCUGUGGCGAAAGCGGCGCACUGGACCACAACUGACGCUGAGGCGCGAAAGCUAGGGGAGCAAACAGG
rnacentral:rRNA from 1 species